CCUACGGGUGGCAGCAGUGAGGAAUAUUGGUCAAUGGCCGUAAGGCUGAACCAGCCAAGUCGCGUGAAGGAAGAAGGAUCUAUGGUUUGUAAACUUCUUUUAUAUGGGAAUAAAAUGUUCCACGUGUGGGAUUUUGUAUGUACCAUAUGAAUAAGGAUCGGCUAACUCUGUGCCAGCAGCCGCGGUAAUACGGAGGAUCCGAGCGUUAUCCGGAUUUAUUGGGUUUAAAGGGAGCGUAGAUGGGUUGUUAAGUCAGUUGUGAAAGUUUGCGGCUCAACCGUAAAAUUGCAAUUGAUACUGGCAGCCUUGAGUACAGUUGAGGUAGGCGGAAUUCGUGGUGUAGCGGUGAAAUGCUUAGAUAUCACGAAGAACUCCGAUUGCGAAGGCAGCCUACUAAACUGCCACUGACAUUGAUGCUCGAAAGUGUGGGUAUCAAACAGGAUUAGAUACCCUUGUAGUC
rnacentral:rRNA from 1 species